GACAGAGGGUGCGAGCGUUGUUCGGAAUCAUUGGGCGUAAAGGGCGCGUAGGCGGCUUGGCAAGUUGGAUGUGAAAGCCCCGGGCUUAACCCGGGAAGUGCAUCCAAAACUGCUUUGCUUGAGUCCUGGAGAGGGUGGUGGAAUUCCCAGUGUAGAGGUGAAAUUCGUAGAUAUUGGGAGGAACACCCGUGGCGAAGGCGGCCACCUGGACAGAGACUGACGCUGAGGCGCGAAAGCGUGGGGAGCAAACAGG
rnacentral:rRNA from 1 species